UCUCAUCAGACAUAUCAAAUGUUAAAUAACAAGUGAUAAAACAGCCCUUUUCCAUGCCCAUCAUUUUUCAGACAAUCCUGGACAAAACGUUGUGGACAACCCACAGAAUUUGGCCUCGAAUGUUGUUUUUUCUAAAUAACUAUCCCCCGCUCCCCCAAGCCAAUGUUGAAUGGGAUUUUUCAUCAAAUACAAAGUGUGGUUAAGUCAGAUAUGCAACAUUGAAGAGGGGGAGUGGGGGAUGUGCAAGUAAAUUCAAGUUUUAGGUGUUUGUUAUGAUUUUUGCAAAAGUGGAUUAAGUGUCCACAUGAGUUUUGGCC
rnacentral:lncRNA from 1 species